GUUGAGAGGAAUGUUGUCUGGCUCGAGGUCAUGAAGAAGAGGAUCACUCGAAUUAAUUUGGAAGAACGAAUUAAGAAACCCUAAAUGAUUCUCGGACCAGGCUUCAUUCCCCCUAAC
rnacentral:pre_miRNA from 1 species